ACUCCUACGGGAGGCAGCAGUGGGGAAUAUUGGACAAUGGACCCAAAAGUCUGAUCCAGCAAUUCUGUGUGUUUGAUGAAGGCCUUCGGUUGUAAGAACUUUCAGUGGGGAAGAAGCAAGUGACGGUACCCACAGAAGAAGCGACGGCUAAAUACGUGCCAGCAGCCGCGGUAAUACGUAUGUCGCAAGCGUUAUCCGGAAUUAUUUGGGCAUAAAGGGCGUCUAGGCGGUCUAAUAAGUCUGAUGUGAAAAAUGCGGGCUCAACUCCGUAUUGCGUUUGGAAACUGUUAGACUAGAGUUUUGGAGAGGUAGGCGGAACUACAAGUGUAGAGGUGAAAUUCGUAGAGAUUUGUAGGAAUGCCGAUGACGAAGGUAGCUUACUGGACAAAUACUG
rnacentral:rRNA from 1 species